GCCAUGUCGAUCAACUCAAAGGAAAAGACAACCCUUGCAUCACCCUCGCUACACAAGCAAGUCAUACCAAACAAAGGAGCUCUACCAAGGUCGAAUACAAUAAGAAAAAUAGCACUCCUUCACACGAGCACAUACGAAAAUGAUGCCUCACCAACAUGGAAGCUAGUGCACCGGAUGCCACCUCUCCACAAUAGCACACAAUAAAACGGUAAAGCUGGUGUUCCUCCACAUAUACAUUUAUCCUCAUAGCACAUUUUCAUUCAUUCACUCUAUAAGUUGCUCUUGUAUACAUUGAUCCU